rnacentral:pre_miRNA from 1 species
CAAAAGCAAAGUACAGAGCAGAGCACAUACUCCGUCUUAUAUAAAUUUUUUUUAUAAUUCAUAUUUUUAUUGUUAUUAGAUGAUAAAACAUGAUUAAUAUUUUAUGCGUGACUUGUCUUUUUAAUUUUUUUCAUAAUUUUUCAAAUAAAACGGACGGUCAAACGUUGGACACGGAAACCAGAGUUUGUCCUUUUU